rnacentral:tRNA from 1 species
GGGAAUGUGGCUUAGUGGUAGAGUGCUUGCCUAGCAUGCAUGAAGCCCUGGAUUCGAUUCCUCACUACCA